rnacentral:lncRNA from 1 species
GACGGGGAAGGGCUUUGCGUGGACGGCGGUGGCGAUGACGUCCUGCACGGAUAGGCGCGUGAGGUGCGUGCCGUGGGAGUAGUGGAGGUCGGCGUACUCGCCGGCGAUGGAGACGGAACGGGAGAUGUUGGCGCCGGUCUGGUCAGUGUAGAGGGAGACGGUUUGCCACCAGUCGGAGACGGAGGGAGAGGGGGAGACGCGGCGGUCGGAGGCGGAGAUGGAGAGGAGGAAGUCCUUGAUGAGAAGCUUCUGCGAUUGGGGCCACUUGCCGUACCAAAUGAGGUAGAUGUUGAUCGGGGAAGACAACACCGGCCCCAUGUGGUAUUUGAGCUUCACGAACU